AGGUCUACUCUGUGGAUGUUCUUCAGGCAUUUCUCUAGUAAUUCCAAUUGAUCUGGAGCAAUCAGAUUAAGUUUCUCUAAUUCGAUCACGAGAUCUAGGAAACUCUGCGAGAGCAACCAACAAGAAAAAAUGUCCAGCCUUGGGAAUUGCUGAUGAAUUACCUAUAGUCCGAAAUAAGGCGAGGGUGCCUGAGCAAGUGGGCCUCCACUGCCUUUCUGUCCAUCUUGAAGAUCCGCUUGAGCAAGUCAAACCGCCUCACUCUGUAGAGCAGCUCGGCCAAGCCCAUGGCAGACAACAUUCCUCUCUCACUUAAAAUAUCCAGAAGGUCCCUGACAUUAAGCGGAGCAACAUCUGCAGCCACAUCCCGGCACAAAAAAAGAAGCAUUUUCUUCUCGUCUUCAUCAAGUGCCUCUUCAACCUGAUGAAUGACCUCAGUAGACAUCCUGCACAGUGUCCUUCCAAAACACUGCAGUAAUAAAACUCCACUCUAGUCAAUAAAAGGCCAUGAGGCUGCUGUCUUGAUUUAUGAUGGUUUUCUUCAUUUCUUUCAAAGUCCUUUCCAACGGAGUUCUGUGGUUAAAAGGGAAUUUUUUAAAUCCUCUUAUCAAAGUAACUUAUGUCUCACAUUCAAGGUAGAGGCUCUUCCUUGCUUGCUGGUCUCUCUAACCU